GACGGAGGGUGCUAGCGUUGUUCGGAAUCACUGGGCGUAAAGGGCGCGUAGGCGGCCAGGCAAGUCGGCUUGUGAAAGCCCGGGGCUCAACCCCGGAGGUGCGGCCGGGACUGCUUGGCUGGAGGCCGGAAGAGGAGGGUGGAAUACCCAGUGUAGAGGUGAAAUUCGUAGAUAUUGGGUGGAACACCGGUGGCGAAAGCGGCUCUCUGGUCCGGUUCUGACGCUGAGGCGCGAAAGCGUGGGGAGCAAACAGGAUUAGAUACCCUGGUAGUCCACGCCCUAAACGAUGCGGGCUAGACGUCGGGGGGCAUGCCCCUCGGUGUCGCAGCGAACGCGUUAAGCCCGCCGCCUGGGGAGUACGGCCGCAAGGUUAAA
rnacentral:rRNA from 1 species